rnacentral:rRNA from 1 species
GAUCCCUGGCUCAGGAUGAACGCUAGCUACAGGCUUAACACAUGCAAGUCGAGGGGCAUCGGGAAGAAAGCUUGCUUUCUUUGCCGGCGACCGGCGCACGGGUGAGUAACACGUAUCCAACCUGCCCUUUACUCGGGGAUAGCCUUUCGAAAGAAAGAUUAAUACCCGAUGGCAUAAUGAUUCCGCAUGGUUCCAUUAUUAAAGGAUUCCGGUAAAGGAUGGGGAUGCGUUCCAUUAGGUUGUUUGGGUGAGGUAACGGCU